GACAACCUGGUUGAUCCUGCCAGUAAUCAUAUGCUUGUCUCAAAGAUUAAGCCAUGCAUGUCCAAGUACAGGCUUUAAUACAGUGAAACCGCGAACGGCUCAUUAAAUCAGCUAUGGUUCCUUAGAUCAUACAUGCUACAUGGAUAACUGUAGCAAUUCUAGAGCUAAUACAUGCACUAUGCCCUGACUCUUCUUCGGAAGGGAAUGGGUGCAUUUAUUAGAAACAGAACCAACCAGAAGCGGUCGUUUCGGCGGCCGUUUUUGUUGAUCUGUGGUGACUCUGGAUAACUUUAAUGAUCGCAGUCGGCCUAAUUGUGCCGGCGACGGGUCUUUUAAAUGUCUGCCCUAUCAAUUUGUUGGUAGAUUAUAUGCCUACCAUGAUAAUGACGGGUAACGGGGAAUCAGGGUUCGAUUCCGGAGAGGGAGCCUGAGAAACGGCUACCACAUCCAAGGACGGCAGCAGGCGCGAAAAUUACCCACUCCUAGCACGGGGAGGUAGUGACGAAAAAUACAGAUGCGGGACUCAUUGAGGCUCCGUAAUUUGAAUGAGCACAGUCUAAAUCCCUUAACGAGGAUCAAUUGGAGGGCAAGUCUGGUGCCAGCAGCCGCGGUAAUUCCAGCUCCAAUAGCGUAUACUAAAGUUGCUGCAGUUAAAAAGCUCAUAGUUGAAUUUUGGACGUUUGUUUGCAUGCUGUUGUCGUGCACUAAUCUUGGUUGCAUCAGUCAGCCGGGUGAGGUGUCGGCAACAGUGUGGUGAAUGAGCGCCCUUUCAGUCGUGUUCGCUUAAGCGAGUGUCAGUUGGCUGGCCAAACCGUAGGCUGGCAAUUGUUGGCCCUGUUUGGUUUAGUCAAUUGGCAUGCUUCUUUGUUGCCCUUAACUGGGUGCUGGGAGCGUACGACAUCUUUACUUUGAACAAAUUUGAGUGCUCAAAGCAGGCCAAUGAGCCUGAAAAUUCUUGCAUGGAAUAAUGGAAUAGGACUUCGGUUCUAUUUUGUUGGUUCACUGACCCGAAGUAAUGGUUAAGAGGGACAGUCGGGGGCAUUUGUAUGGCGGCGUUAGAGGUGAAAUUCUGGGAUCGUCGCCAGACAAACUACAGCGAAAGCAUUUGCCAAGAAUGUUUUCAUUAAUCAAGAGCGAAAGUCAGAGUUUCGAAGACGAUCAGAUACCGUCGUAGUUCUGACCAUAAACGAUGCCAUCUGACGAUCCGUGGUGGUUCUAUGUUUGGCUCCACGGGCAGUCUCCGGGAAACCCUUAAGAUUUUGGGCUCCGGGGGAAGUAUGGUUGCAAAGCUGAAACUUAAAGGAAUUGACGGAAGGGCACCACCAGGAGUGGAGCCUGCGGCUUAAUUCGACUCAACACGGGAAAUCUCACCUGGCCCGGACACUGUGAGGAUUGACAGAUUGAAAGCUCUUUCUUGAUUCGGUGGAUGGUGGUGCAUGGCCGUUCUUAGUUGGUGGAGUGAUUUGUCUGGUUAAUUCCGAUAACGAACGAGACUUUAACCUACUAAAUAGUACGCUUGUCUUCUGUGUUCGUGCGGGUCAGCUUUCGGUUAGCCGUUUUCGUGAUGGCUAGUCGGUGUUGGCCGACGGACAUGGUGCGAGUGUAUACUUCUUAGAGGGACUAGCGGAGUCCAAUAACCGCACGAAAUUGAGCAAUAACAGGUCUGUGAUGCCCUUAGAUGUCCGGGGCUGCACGUGCGCUACAAUGGCGGUAACAGCGAGUCUGGAAACCUGGCCAGAAAUGGUUGGGCAAACUGAUUCAUUGCCGUCGUGACUGGGAUCGGGGCUUGCAAUUGUUCCCCGUGAACGAGGAAUUCCUGGUAAGUGCAAGUCAUAAGCUUGCGCUGAUUACGUCCCUGCCCUUUGUACACACCGCCCGUCGCUACUACCGAUUGACUGGUCAAGCGAAGUUGUUGGAUUGGCGUUUUAUGGUUGCCGUCUGGCGGCCUGAUGCUGAAAAGAUAACUAAACUUGACCAGUUAGAGGAAGUAAAG
rnacentral:rRNA from 1 species